CCACCUGCACAACUGCGCUCGCAUAGUUGCAUCUCCCCCAUGGCAUCGCCCCGCUCGCCGCCGGCCCUCCCCCUCCCCUUCUCCCACCUGUAGCUCCGGCUUCUUCCAGAUCCGCCUGCAUUCCCCACCCACCCAUCCCUCUCUCUCUCUCUCUCUUCAUGCGGCUCCUCGCUGCGCUACCUGUGGCGGCUGAUUCAGGCGAAGUCCGGGGAAUCCCACCACCACGAACCACAGCCCGAGGCCCCGCUUGCACUUGCGGGGCCCUCCCAUAUGACUAGAUCCAGUGCAGGCGGCCAGCAAAGCUCACCAGCGACACUCCUCCCUUAGCUAGGGUUUGGGGCGGCUCCAGCGCCGGUGGCCAUAUCGCCCUCCUCUCGUCCGACGUGUAGGGAGGUACAGUGGACAGCCUUGCUACUGCUCGGGACGAAGCAGCCAUGAAGCUUCCUCCUCUGGCUUGUGGCUUCAGGUGAGUUUGUCCGCCAUGAUCCAUCGAACGGCUAGCGCGAUGGCCUAUUUUGCCGUCCUAUGCAUAUUUUGAUGCUAGAUCGGUGUUGUAUUUCAAUUGCUAAGAAAGCAGAAUAAAAGGGCUAUGUUCCGUGGUUAGCAGCCACACCUCUGUGGUUAGCAGCUAUAUUUUGACAUCUCCAUAUCAUCCUCAGCAAAGAAAAGAUCAUACUAAGUCUACUAUUCUGUGAGUUUGCCCAUAUGCACAAUUUUGCUUUUUCCUAACAAGUUCCAAUCCUCAUUCCUUCACUAGCUACUUAUUCAUGGUGCUGGUCAAUGCAGUCUAUACGGUAAACUGCUACAAGGCUCUAUUCUUUUUCUUCAAAAUAAAUUACUUUAAUUAUAAGAGAUGGAGUUUUUUCCAGGAAUAUUUGACUACUAUUUGGUUCAAUCAGCUGGGGAUACAAUAUUUUUUUAAAAGCAAUCAAAAUCUGUUUCUGCAUAGAUGCACUGCAAAAAUAUCAGCAUCAUUAGACCAUAAAGAUAGGGGCGUGCUUACGAAUUACCCUUAGUGUCCUAAUGGUAGUUUCUCUGUUCUUGCAAAGGUGCUUAUUGACUAAUGAUCCACUGAAACCAUGUUAUAAGAUGCAAUUGUUUUAUCUCCUGAAAAAGCAUGAAGAUUUGUUUCUUUUAGUAAUUAAUUGAAACCACGUGUAAGCCUGCAAUAAAGCUUCUAUUAUUUGUCUCUCAUCAAUUCGGCAGCUAUUUUAUGCAAUAUUUUUUACUUAAAUUUCAGCGGAAUUUUAUAGGGAGCAUUUUUAAUUUGACAUAUGAACUGGUCUCUUUUUCUUUUCUUGACGGAGCGCACCUGGGCUUUUGAAUGGAAUUCAAUACCCUGGUCAUAUCCACAAAUUAAGUCGAUCUCACCAUGGGUCUUAUUCGCUACCACCGUUGGCAUGCUUCCAACCGACCACCCAAAAAAACUAACUAAAUGCAAAAUCACAUUGUAGAUCGUAGGUGCAGCAGACUUGACCUCGGCCCUUAGAUUGAUCCCACACUUAGAUUUGUCCAAUGGUAAUCCAUGUCGUUGUUAGCAUAAUGCCUUGCAAAGUAGGCCUGGCCAGGGUAGUGCCUAUACACAGUGGGUCAUGAGCCUCUGCUGCUCUGUCCUACAAGCUAUGCUUUGGCUGAUGCUAUGUGUUUCACUUCAUAAUACUUUUCAUCAGCAUAUUCAUCACGUCUUACACUAUGGUCUCGGCAGGAAGUAGUACUUCCUGAUAAAGAAAAAACUCUAGAUAUGUCUUAAAGGCGGACUGGUCAUCGUUUGCUACCAAGAUGUGGGUGAGAGUGCGUAAUCGAUGAUAGGCUGAGGAGGCUAUGCCGAUAUGCAGUGGCUGGUACAUGUUGGAUGUCAUUGACGGCUAAGUGCAACCUAUGGAACAAGACGCCGGCAAAGGGAUUCUCAACACCUGCUAAACUGGACGGAGAAUUUGAUUGUUAUUCUGCUUUAUUUAUGGGUACUGCUCUCCUAUCCAAUUGAAUGAUUCUCACGUGAUGCAUGGCUGGGUCUUGGCUUCAUAUAAUAUAUUUUGGAGAACACGUUCCAGUGGAUA